rnacentral:rRNA from 1 species
UACAGAGGGGGCAAGCGUUGUUCGGAAUUACUGGGCGUAAAGGGCGCGUAGGCGGCCUUCUAAGUCGAACGUGAAAUCCCCGGGCUCAACCCGGGAACUGCGUCCGAUACUGGAAGGCUUGAAUCCGGGAGAGGGAUGCGGAAUUCCCGGUGUAGCGGUGAAAUGCGCAGAUAUCGGGAGGAACACCAGUGGCGAAGGCGGCACUCUGGGCCGGAACUGACGCUGAGGAGCGAAAGCGUGGGGAGCGAACAGG